AUGAAAUUAUUAAGGAUAAUUGGGACCCUGAGAAAAAUUCCUCAGGAUUUCAGAGAUCCAAUCAUAGUUACACUAUACAAAAACAAAGGCAAUAAACCCGGCUGUGGCAACUUCUGGGGCAUCUCCCUGCUAUUCGUAGAUGGUAAAAUCCUCACUUGUAUUUUGCUCAAUAGUCUUGUAAAAAAGUAUCAGAGAAGCUUCUACCAGAGACCCAAUGUGGAUUUAGAUCAGAUUGGAGCACCACAGGCAUGAUUUUCAUUGUGAGACAGAUUCAGGAAAAACAGAUUGAACAAAACAUGGAACUGUAUCCUGUCUUCAUUGAUCUAAAAAAAGCGUUUGACACUGUGAGCAGAAAUGACCUCUGGAGAAUUUUAGAAAAGUUUGGCUGGCCCACCAAAUUUUUGAACAUCAGACGUCGUUUCCAUGAAGACAUGACUCAUAAAUAGUGGCCUCUCUAACCCAUUCCCUUUAUUUAAUGGAGGGUGAAACAAGGCUGCAUGCAGGCACUGGUCUGUGGUCUCUUCUUCAUAGAUGUUCUGAAUUAUACAACUUACAACCUUCAAAAGAGCAUUUACAUAAGGUACAGAACUGAUUAAAAACUCUUCAAUCGCUAAAGACUUACUGCAAAGACAAAAAUUUAUUGAAGAACUCAUAUGUGAAGACUUUUUAGCAGAUGACUGCGCUUUAUUAUUCAGUCAUAGUGGAAGUGAUCUACAGCUUAUCCUUGUCAGGAUCUCAGAGGUAAUUAAACAGUUUGGAGUCACCAUCAACCUGGAAAAAAACUGAAGUCUUUUUCCAACCAGCCCCAUCAACUACUACCACUUGAGCCAUCGAUAGUACAAAACUAAAGAAUGUCAAUCACUUUACGUACCUUGGUAAUACCAUCUCAAGUGAGGAUUCCCUGGAUCAAGAAAUAUCAAACAGAAUACAAAAGGCAGAGAGGGUUUCAGAAGAUUUAGCCAUAGGAUACUCAACCAGCAUACCAUCAAACUGUCAACAAAACUAAUGAUAUACAAUGCAGCAGUGAUAGCAUCUCUUUUCUAUGGGUAUGAAAAACAAUUACCAUAAACGCAUCAACUUGAAAAAUUUCACAAACACUGACUUCAAUCUAUUCUGAAGAUAUGCCGGAAAGACAAAGUGUCAAAUAUUAACAUCCUUGAAAGGGUAAAAUCAACUAGUAUCCAGGCAAUGAUUAUCAAAGCUCAGCAUAGAUGGGCAGAUCAUGGUAACAGAAUGGGUGGUGACAGACUCCUGAAAAAAGUCCAUCUAUAGUGAGCUGAAAUUUGGAAAGUGCAAGAAGGGUGCUCAAUGUAAAUGCUGCAGAGACACCCUUAAAAGAAUCACACAUCGUGACAUAAAAGUUGGUAACUUCAAAGACACAGCGGAGGACAGACCUGAAUGGAGAGGAACUAUCACUAAAGGUUGUAAACACUUUGACAAAGGCAGAUGCAAAAAACUGAUUAGAAAAGGGCCAAACAUCAUGCCAAGUCUUCAGUGGGAGCCUACAGAUUCCUAGGUAACAUCUGUUCAUGACCCUGCUGCUCAUAGACUGGACUAUACAGCCACAAGAGAACACACGAGAUGCUGUGACAUUGUCAGAUAUGAUAGACAGCCAUACUAGAUAAUCGAAGAUGUGAGUUAUCUGCCAUAACCACCAAAAUACAUUUGUAUAUUAAUCAAAGGUGACAUUCACUCUGUAUAUCAGAAUUGUGUAAAAAGUCGCCACCAUAAAUAAAGCUCACCCGUUUGCAGAGGAUGCA
rnacentral:lncRNA from 1 species